rnacentral:lncRNA from 1 species
GGUGGAUCGCGUAGAAGAGCUCAAUGGCAAAUCCAAAACAAUCGAAGGAAUAUCGUCGGUGAUGGAUGGGGGACACCCCUACUUCUCGAAAGAACCGAGAAAAAAAAAAAGAAAAAUAGAAGAAGAAAGAAGAGAAGAAAGAGUCUAUUACCUCAAGUUCUAUGAGGAAUCAAUGGUGGAUCGUAGAGAAGAGCUCAACGGCAAAUCCAAAACAAUCGAAGGAACAUCGUCGGUGAUAGAUGAGUUCCUUUAACCCACUCCAAUCUGAGAUCUCGCCCCUGCACUUUACUUCAUGUGGCAAAAAAACUCUUGAAAUUGCUCUCCUGAUCGAACACGGAGGACGGGGGACACCCCUAUCUCUCGAAAGAAUAAAGAAAAAGAAAAAAUAAAAGACAGAGGAAGAAAGAAGAGAAGGAAGAGGAACAUCGCCGGCGAUGGAUGGGGUUUUGGAGCAGAGCAGAGUGGAGAAAAAGGUUAAACAACCUUUUAUAGAUCUGGAUCCUAACUCCCGACAGGAGUCUUCCUCCUCCUUUAACCCGCUCCAAUCUGAG